GAAUUUAUAAGUUAAAAAAUUCAAACCUAAAGACUGAACUAUUUAUUUAUUUGUUCUAAUAGGUUGAGUCAAAUAUUACACGUACUUGAACAUAUUCAAAUAUAUAGUAGAUUAAUUGGUUCAAUUUUUUUGUCUAGUAAUUAGUGGUUAAAAUUUUACUAUUUAAAGAUGAAAAAUUAAAAUAUCGCAAGUUCGAACCAAC
rnacentral:lncRNA from 1 species